UUAAGCGACUAAGCGUACACGGUGGAUGCCCUGGCAGUCAGAGGCGAUGAAGGACGUGCUAAUCUGCGAUAAGCGUCGGUAAGGUGAUAUGAACCGUUAUAACCGGCGAUUUCCGAAUGGGGAAACCCAGUGUGUUUCGACACACUAUCAUUAACUGAAUCCAUAGGUUAAUGAGGCGAACCGGGGGAACUGAAACAUCUAAGUACCCCGAGGAAAAGAAAUCAACCGAGAUUCCCCCAGUAGCGGCGAGCGAACGGGGAGCAGCCCAGAGCCUGAAUCAGUGUGUGUGUUAGUGGAAGCGUCUGGAAAGGCGCGCGAUACAGGGUGACAGCCCCGUACACAAAAAUGCACAUACUGUGAGCUCGAUGAGUAGGGCGGGACACGUGGUAUCCUGUCUGAAUAUGGGGGGACCAUCCUCCAAGGCUAAAUACUCCUGACUGACCGAUAGUGAACCAGUACCGUGAGGGAAAGGCGAAAAGAACCCCGGCGAGGGGAGUGAAAAAGAACCUGAAACCGUGUACGUACAAGCAGUGGGAGCCUCUUAAUGGGGUGACUGCGUACCUUUUGUAUAAUGGGUCAGCGACUUAUAUUCUGUAGCAAGGUUAACCGAAUAGGGGAGCCGAAGGGAAACCGAGUCUUAACUGGGCGUUAAGUUGCAGGGUAUAGACCCGAAACCCGGUGAUUCAGCCAUGGGCAGGUUGAAGGUUGGGUAACACUAACUGGAGGACCGAACCGACUAAUGUUGAAAAAUUAGCGGAUGACUUGUGGCUGGGGGUGAAAGGCCAAUCAAACCGGGAGAUAGCUGGUUCUCCCCGAAAGCUAUUUAGGUAGCGCCUCGUGAAUUCAUCUCCGGGGGUAGAGCACUGUUUCGGCAAGGGGGUCAUCCCGACUUACCAACCCGAUGCAAACUGCGAAUACCGGAGAAUGUUAUCACGGGAGACACACGGCGGGUGCUAACGUCCGUCGUGAAGAGGGAAACAACCCAGACCGCCAGCUAAGGUCCCAAAGUCAUGGUUAAGUGGGAAACGAUGUGGGAAGGCCCAGACAGCCAGGAUGUUGGCUUAGAAGCAGCCAUCAUUUAAAGAAAGCGUAAUAGCUCACUGGUCGAGUCGGCCUGCGCGGAAGAUGUAACGGGGCUAAACCAUGCACCGAAGCUGCGGCAGCGACACUAUGUGUUGUUGGGUAGGGGAGCGUUCUGUAAGCCUGUGAAGGUGUACUGUGAGGUAUGCUGGAGGUAUCAGAAGUGCGAAUGCUGACAUAAGUAACGAUAAAGCGGGUGAAAAGCCCGCUCGCCGGAAGACCAAGGGUUCCUGUCCAACGUUAAUCGGGGCAGGGUGAGUCGACCCUAAGGCGAGGCCGAAAGGCGUAGUCGAUGGGAAACAGGUUAAUAUUCCUGUACUUGGUGUUACUGCGAAGGGGACGGAGAAGGCUAUGUUGGCCGGGCGACGGUUGUCCCGGUUUAAGCGUGUAGGCUGGUUUUCCAGGCAAAUCCGGAAAAUCAAGGCUGAGGCGUGAUGACGAGGCACUACGGUGCUGAAGCAACAAAUGCCCUGCUUCCAGGAAAAGCCUCUAAGCAUCAGGUAACAUCAAAUCGUACCCCAAACCGACACAGGUGGUCAGGUAGAGAAUACCAAGGCGCUUGAGAGAACUCGGGUGAAGGAACUAGGCAAAAUGGUGCCGUAACUUCGGGAGAAGGCACGCUGAUAUGUAGGUGAAGUCCCUUGCGGAUGGAGCUGAAAUCAGUCGAAGAUACCAGCUGGCUGCAACUGUUUAUUAAAAACACAGCACUGUGCAAACACGAAAGUGGACGUAUACGGUGUGACGCCUGCCCGGUGCCGGAAGGUUAAUUGAUGGGGUUAGCGGUAACGCGAAGCUCUUGAUCGAAGCCCCGGUAAACGGCGGCCGUAACUAUAACGGUCCUAAGGUAGCGAAAUUCCUUGUCGGGUAAGUUCCGACCUGCACGAAUGGCGUAAUGAUGGCCAGGCUGUCUCCACCCGAGACUCAGUGAAAUUGAACUCGCUGUGAAGAUGCAGUGUACCCGCGGCAAGACGGAAAGACCCCGUGAACCUUUACUAUAGCUUGACACUGAACAUUGAGCCUUGAUGUGUAGGAUAGGUGGGAGGCUUUGAAGUGUGGACGCCAGUCUGCAUGGAGCCGGCCUUGAAAUACCACCCUUUAAUGUUUGAUGUUCUAACGUUGGCCCCUGAUCGGGGUUGCGGACAGUGUCUGGUGGGUAGUUUGACUGGGGCGGUCCUCCUAAAGAGUAACGGAGGAGCACGAAGGUUGGCUAAUCUGGUCGGACAUCAGGAGGUUAGUGCAAUGGCAUAAGCCAGCUUGACUGCGAGCGUGACGGCGCGAGCAGGUGCGAAAGCAGGUCAUAGUGAUCCGGUGGUUCUGAAUGGAAGGGCCAUCGCUCAACGGAUAAAAGGUACUCCGGGGAUAACAGGCUGAUACCGCCCAAGAGUUCAUAUCGACGGCGGUGUUUGGCACCUCGAUGUCGGCUCAUCACAUCCUGGGGCUGAAGUAGGUCCCAAGGGUAUGGCUGUUCGCCAUUUAAAGUGGUACGCGAGCUGGGUUUAGAACGUCGUGAGACAGUUCGGUCCCUAUCUGCCGUGGGCGCUGGAGAACUGAGGGGGGCUGCUCCUAGUACGAGAGGACCGGAGUGGACGCAUCACUGGUGUUCGGGUUGUCAUGCCAAUGGCACUGCCCGGUAGCUAAAUGCGGAAGAGAUAAGUGCUGAAAGCAUCUAAGCACGAAACUUGCCCCGAGAUGAGUUCUCCCUGACUCUUUAAGGGUCCUGAAGGAACGUUGAAGACGACGACGUUAAUAGGCCGGGUGUGUAAGCGCAGCGAUGCGUUGAGCUAACCGGUACUAAUGAACCGUGAGGCUUAACCU
rnacentral:rRNA from 1 species